UCUCUCUGUGGCUUACCUGGUUAGAGCGCAGUACCGGAAUCGCAGGGCCGCAGGUUCAAUUCCUGCCAGAGGAC